rnacentral:rRNA from 1 species
UUUGAAAUCUGGUACCUUCGGUGCCCGAGUUGUAAUUUGAAGAUAGUUUUCUGGUGCUGGCCCUUGUCUAUGUUCCUUGGAACAGGACGUCACAGAGGGUGAGAAUCCCGUCUGGCGGGGUGUCCAGUGCUUUGUAGAUUUCUAUCGACGAGUCGAGUUGUUUGGGAAUGCAGCUCUAAGUGGGUGGUAAAUUCCAUCUAAAGCUAAAUAUUGGCGAGAGACCGAUAGCGAACAAGUACAGUGAUGGAAAGAUGAAAAGAACUUUGAAAAGAGAGUGAAAAAGUACGUGAAAUUGUUGAAAGGGAAGGGUAUUAGAUCAGACUUGGUGUUUUGUGAUUAUCUUCCCUUCUUGGGUUGUGCACUCGCAUUUCACUGGGCCAGCAUCGGUUCGGGUGGCAAGAUAAUGACAUUGGAACGUGGCACUACCUUCGGGUGGUGUGUUAUAGCCCUUGUUGAUGUUGCCUAUCUGGACCGAGGACUGCGGCUUUUGCCUAGGAUGCUGGCGUAAUGAUCUAACACCGCCCGU